GAUCAAGAUUCAAUAUUAAGAUUGUUUCUUCCAUUUCCAGGUGUUAUCUCCAGAUAUGAGCUUGGCCACUGUACGGGCAUAUGUUUGGAAGAAACCAGAAGACCUAAUCCUUAAUUACAGAGUGGCUAUAGCUAGGUAACUUUGAAGGGAAAUGCACUCGAUGCCUGAUAUGAAGCAACUGAGAGAGGGGGCUUUGGUUGAAUGUCACACUUAAUACAGAUUGCUGUUGGGCAACUUUCAAGGCUCCAUCCAUGUCAAGAACUGCUGAUAAGUAAAAACCUCGGAAUCAGAAUAUUUUGCCUUAGCCUUUCAUUCACUUUGUGCUGUAGAUGGUUCUGUGCGUGGAGUUUUGGCUGUAGAAGUGGCUGGAUGAGCAAUGGAAUGCAUUUUACCCACAAGGCUCGGGUGAGAUAGAUGAUGUUGAAAAAAACCUUAUAUGAGUAUGUACAUUACACGUCUAGAGACUUAGCUUCAAACUUUAUUUGUGGAAACACGGUUCUUGAUUGUUUUCAGAAGUAAUAACAAUCCCCAUGUUGUAUAAAAUCUCGAUACCGUGUGCUCCUGUGCACGGUUCUACCCUUUGUAUA